rnacentral:rRNA from 1 species
CCUACGGGAGGCAGCAGUGAGGAAUAUUGGUCAAUGGACGAGAGUCUGAACCAGCCAAGUAGCGUGAAGGAUGACUGCCCUAUGGGUUGUAAACUUCUUUUAUCUGGGAAUACAAUGUUGCACUUGUGGGAGUUUGUAUGUACCUUAUGAAUAAGGAUCGGCUAACUCCGUGCCAGCAGCCGCGGUAAUACGGAGGAUCCGAGCGUUAUCCGGAUUUCUUGGGUUUAAAGGGAGCGUAGGUGGGUUGUUAAGUCAGUUGUGAAAGUUUGCGGCUCAACCGUAAAAUUGCAGUUGAAACUGGCAGUCUUGAGUACAGUAGAGGUGGGCGGAAGUCGUGGUGUAGCGGUGAAAUGCUUAGAUAUCGCGAAGAACCCCGAUUGCGAAGGCAGUGCACUGGACUGCAACUGACACUGAGGCUCGAAAGUGUGGGUAUCAAACAGGAUUAGAUACCCCGGUAGUC